CAACAUUACAAGUCCUGUAUUAACUAAUACUGAACAAUGGAGCUUAUGACUGUCUGGAGAUUAGUUCUCAUAGUGAUGUCCAUACACAGUGUUUUCUGUGAUGAGAUGGAUCAGUCACCUUCUCAGGUGAAAAGACCUGGAGACGCUGUUAAAUUGUCCUGUACAAUCUCUGGGUUUGAUAUGACAAGCUACUACAUGAACUGGAUAAGGCACAAACCAGGCAAAGCUCUGGAGUGGAUUGGGGGUGUUAACUCUGGUUCAACAGAUGAUCCAGACUACUCAGACACCCUGAAAGGCCAGUUCACCCUGACUGAGGACGUCUCUACAAGCACACAGUUCUUAGAGGCCAAGAGUCUGAGAGCAGAGGACUCUGCUGUUUAUUAUUGUGCUCGAGAGACACACUGA